CCCGCACUGUCGGGAGAUUGGGGAGGACGGUCGUCCGGCUGAGAGGUCCGGCCUCCUCAUCUCCAUCCACAUCACCAGCGUCUCCUCGCGGGUCCCAUGUCUGGUUCCUAAGGCCUCACUCCGUCUGCACCUACUUCCAGGAGCUGGGGUUGCGGUGGCCAGGAUGUGCGCCUGUAACUCGGCCCUUGCCGUCGGUCUCUGAAGUGCUUCUCCCAGAUUGAUCUGUAUUUGGAGGUGGUACAUUUGAUGAGUAUUAGUAUGGUGCAGUACGAGCCAUUUUGAUUAUUUACUCCCGAGUACUGUACAAAUAUGAGAGAUAUUCAUGCAUCUCAUAUUAUUGAAGAAUACCUCGAUGAGCAUACUCUAAACCCUGAUGUUCUCUUCAACCCAAGAAUAAAUUUUGAUUCGCUGACUAGACGAGCAAGGUAACCAAGCCGAGGAGAGACCUGUUGAUUUGGACUUGCAGGAGCAUGUCUCAUAUGGCUUCACUAUGGUGCUCACAUUAUCGGGAUUUUCGGAUUUCCUCUUCAUAUGUUAUUCAAUAGUCAAGCUGAUUGAAGUGUACUAUUGCAACUUGUAUGUAUGUGUUCACCAGUGCUGCAGUAGGUAUAUAGAGCCAGGGGGAGAUAGGGAGGUUGCCAAAGAUGGACCUAGGGCGAGGAGACUCUUUAACUUUCAACGGAGCACAACCAUAUUAAAAGAUGGUGAUCAAUCAAUUGAGUGAGCUCACCCUGGGCUGGCUGUAGCAUCACUGUGGAGGAACCGAUGAUGGUCCCGUAAAAUACACUGACAUAGUGUUUCAGGACAAACAUGUAUUCAGCCUGAUCUUUAGAUGUCUGGACGUUUAAGUUCUCGCGUAUUGAGUUUAUGAAUUUGUUCUUAGAUGAUGUUUUUGCGUGAAAUUUUUCAUGUGCCUUCAGAACUAUUUAGAGUUCUGGUAUUUGGAGGAUAUUUCUUGUGACAUCGAACCACAAUAGCCUGGAAACAUACUAAUAGUUUUCCUCUUGUGUUUUUAGAACUCUGGGACUGGACUGAACUUUUUUGACAAAUCACCCACUCAUCUUAUAAUAUAUCAUUGAUCGGUGGAUUUUGUAGGAAAGGAUGAUCAAGAUAUGGAAAUUUUGUGCAUGACAUGAAGCAAUAGAAUUAAUGCUUUCUAUAAACAUAUCUGAACUAUCGACCUCAUUGUUCCAUAUGUAUUUUCCCAUAUGUUCUCCCUAUGUUUUGAGUGAUUAGUUGUGAUACUUCAAGUAAAGUAUGCUUUUAAAAAUUUGAUUUCCCAACCCUGCAUUACCAAGGGCUCUCUUUGUUUGGCCGUUUCUUUCUUGAUCAUAUCUUUUCACUUUAUUGUAAUGUAUGGUAAACCGCUGAACUCCCUAAUUUGGCCAUGACUAAAGUAUGUUAUUAUCGUAUUGCCAAGGGUUUUGCAUGAUCGGGCCAUGAUAAAUUAUGAGUUAAUAAAACAUGAGUUCUAACGUGAUGCUUAAAAAUACUUGCACGUGUGGUAUAUGGUGUCUAAAGAGAGCCCCAGAGUCGCCCGAGCCAGGGAAAGGUUCACGAGAGACAUGCUUCUUUGGCUUGAGCACAACACAAGGUCUGAUUUAGUUCAAGUGUGAGAGCAGCAGUAAAAAUAAUUGGGUUCAUGGUGUACAAAAUCUGCUCCCGCAGGUUGAUGUAACUGAUCUGGUAGGACACCAGCUAGAAACACUAAAACUCAAUACAUCAAUAAAACAUGGCAGUAUCAUGUAUGGAUUUCCAUUCCAGUUUGAGGCAUGAGUUUAAUAGAGAUAUGGGUUUGUAAUCAUUUACCCCUGUAGGAGAACUAUUUUUUGAUAUACGUUAUUAGAUAAUUAUUUAUGCUGCCCAAGAUAAAUUUUCCUUCUGAAAAUUGCUGCA